rnacentral:rRNA from 1 species
GACGAACGCUGGCGGCGUGCCUAAUACAUGCAAGUCGAGCGAAGUUUUUCUGGUGCUUGCACUAGAAAAACUUAGCGGCGAACGGGUGAGUAACACGUAAAGAACCUGCCUCAUAGACUGGGACAACUAUUGGAAACGAUAGCUAAUACCGGAUAACAGUAUUUCUCGCAUGAGAGAUAUUUAAAAGUUGGUUAUGCUAACACUAUGAGAUGGCUUUGCGGUGCAUUAGCUAGUUGGUGGGGUAAAGGCCCACCAAGGCGACGAUGCAUAGCCGACCUGAGAGGGUGAUCGGCCACACUGGGACUGAGACACGGCCCAGACUCCUACGGGAGGCAGCAGUAGGGAAUCUUCCGCAAUGGGCGAAAGCCUGACAGAGCAACGCCGCGUGAGUGAAGAAGGAUUUCGGUUCGUAAAGCUCUGUUGUUAGGGAAGAAUGGAUAUGUAGUAACUAUACAUGUAAGAGACGGUACCUAACCAGAAAGCCACGGCUAACUACGU